AACAGGAGGCUGACCGGAUUUGGUCCAUCAGCCAUGUUUGCUGACUUUUCCAUAGCCCACCUGAUGGUAGAACAACCUGCUCCUCACGGCAUCUACUCUCUUGUGACUAAUUUGAUAAUUUGGGUCUUUGAUGCAGCCUCAAAGGUCAUAGCUCCUAGAGAUAAGCCUUCAAGUCACCACAAGCUACCUUCAUAGCUGUUCAACCUUCCCUCACUCUCCACACUAUUGAAGGGUCCUCGCCUGCUGAUGUGUCAGCUUCCCUGUUCCUAGCAAAAGCUUUGGAAUGAAAAGAAGCAAACAAAGAUGCCUGAAAAGCCCAGAACCACAACUUCUGAGUUCGUCUUCUGAUGCAGGAAUAUUACAAUUGAGAGGAAAACAGAGAUAUAGAAAUUACCAAGAAAAAUCCAGAGCUAGCCAUUAUAUCAGGAACGAAGAAGCCAGUCACUGUGCUCUGGAGAGACAAAUUGCACAUUUGACAUGCAGUCACUUUGUGUAGGAAACAUUACUUCUGAAGAGAAUGAUACCUGGUGUUCUUUAAAGUACAACAUUGGACAAACAAAAGAAAAUGGAGCUAAAUUAUUAUUGAUCACCC